rnacentral:rRNA from 1 species
CAGCAGCCACGGUAAUACGUAGGGUGCGAGCGUUAAUCGGAAUUACUGGGCGUAAAGCGUGCGCAGGCGGUUCGUUAAGACAGAUGUGAAAUCCCCGGGCUUAACCUGGGAACUGCAUUUGUGACUGGCGAGCUAGAGUAUGGCAGAGGGGGGUAGAAUUCCACGUGUAGCAGUGAAAUGCGUAGAGAUGUGGAGGAACACCGAUGGCGAAGGCAGCCCCCUGGGCCAAUACUGACGCUCAUGCACGAAAGCGUGGGGAGCAAACAGGAUUAGAUACCCCGGUAGUCCCUGUCUCUUAUAC